CACAUCACAUUGAAAUACCGGUUCCCAUAUGAUCACCAAAGUUAAGCAACAUCGAGCCUGGUCAGUAUCUAGAUAGGUGAUUGUUUGAGAAUAUGAAGUGCUGUAAG